rnacentral:lncRNA from 1 species
GAUUUGGUUCAUGAACUCGGAUAUGGUUCAUGCGUUCGGUGUAUGGAUUUGGUUCAUGGUUCAAGAAAUUUGGGUUUAGUUUAACGACUUUUCGGUCGUUUGGAUUUGGUUUAGUUUAACGACUUUUCGGUCGUUUGAAAUUUGGGUUGUUUAGUUUAACUACUUUGCAGUCAUUUGGAUUUGGGUUUAGUUUAAUGAUGUUUCGGUCGUUUGAUUUGAUUGUUUAGUUUAACGACUUUGCGGUCGUUUGAUUUGAUUGUUUAGUUUAACGACUUUGCGGUCGUAGGUUUUAUUUGUGGACUUUGGGUUUUGGCAUUUUAUUUGUGAACUUUGGAUUUUGGGAUUUAUUUGUGGACUUUGGGUUUUGGAAUUUAUUUGUGGACUUUCGUUUUGAAAUUUAUUUGUGGACUUUGAGUUUGGGUGGGCUU